AGGACUCUUGGCAUUUGUUCAAGAUUUUAACUUAAUGACGUCUGCUUUGCAUCUUUAACGUUUACUGCUUUUUAAAUCUUUUAAAAAUGGAUUACAAAAUGGAAUUUUUUCUUCCCAGGUUUUAAAGCACCAUUUAUAUAUUGCGCUCUCUGCCCUUGGGGAACCCUGGCUCUGGAAGUCAAGAAGAGAGAAUGUGGAGGCGAAUUGUACAAAACGUUUGAGAGGAAAGCCACCUUCAGGAAAGUCAUAGCAGCAAGAACAGGAAGCAACUGGUCAUAUUGUGUCCAGUCUGGAAGCAGAGAGAGGUGAGUCCUCCAAUCUUCUCUUUUUUAUUCAGCCUGAUGCCCCAGCCCAUGGAUGGCGCCACCCAUACACAGGGCAGGCAUUUCCAUCAGCAAGACCCUGCUACAAUAUCUUCACAGAUACUUUAAGAGGUUUGCUUCCUAUGUGCUUCUGUGUUCUGUCAAACUGAUGAUCUAGAAUAGUCAUCACAAGUCUACUUCCUGUCAACGGCACACUCAAACACAUCUCUUCAAAUCACAGCAUUACACUGUUGGCCCUGAAGCCUCAUGUUCAUCACAUAAUGUAGAGUGCAUUGAGCCAUCUUUCUCAUUUUUAACAAUUUGCUUGUUCAUGUGUUUGUUUAUUGUGUGGGCACCAAGCAUGCACAGAGAGGUCAGAGAAUAACCUGUGGCAGUCGGUUUUCUUCUUCAAACAUGUGGGUCUCAGGAAUCAACGUCAUGAUUGUCAGGCUUGGCAGCAAGUGCCCACCUCUGCUGAGCCAUUCUGCUAUCCCUAUUUAGUCCGUUUCCAUGAGUACUUAUAGUUUCCAAUUUCCAUUUCUUGUUUAAAAAAAUGUAAGUGUAUAGUGUCUUCUGAAACAAUCUCUUAACUAUGAGCUAUUUAAGAAUAAAAUUUACACACUUCUAAUAUAUGGUGGCGCAGAGUAAGUGUUGCCAUUUAUAAGGGAGGACUGGAGCACAGAUUGAACCAAAUUGAGACCCAAGGCAAGGAAAGCAAAUGCCAAACCCUGCAGUUUCAUAUCUAGUGUCAAGACGGAUCAUCCGGACUCCCAACAUCCUUAGCAGCACUGUUGCUCCAGCUCUUCCUCAUGCACACACAUAACCUAUGUCUGGGCCUGAUCCCACCCUUUCCUUUGCCAGUGUCCCAUGGUCCUGGUAUUGUCAAUCUCAGGAGUCUCCAUGACAACCUGGCAAGUUGGCCUUGACAGACACUUGCUUGACUUAGUGGAUUUCUAGAAACUCAGCUCAAGCCUCCUUGACUCCCUCACAUUCGUCUCUUGCCCCAUGUGUGCAAAAACAGCACCAUUUAUGGGCUGCAUUGCUAAAUUCCACUGGCCACUGGAGAUGAGAUCCCUUGGUCCAGAAGUGAAGCAGCUUCUGUGUGCCUUUGGUGCUGUGUCUGAGAAAACAUCCUGUAGGCUGUUGUUUUACCUUAGGUGGGAUUCUCAUACAGGCCCUCUCUUUUCAAAUGAAUUUGCAUUUUAGUUGCCCUGGUGCAAAGCCAAGUUUCUCUUUAUGCCAAUGUCUAUAACAACUGCAGCUGUUUUGUGUGCCCUCACCGUGUUUGAAACUUAGCUAAACCCCAUAUGUUCCUCUCUUUCUGCUCCCUGUUUGUUCUCUGUAGACCUGGCUACGGACAGCGAGCAAUAGCUAUGCCACAGUCUGAUUGCUCUCCUGCCUUGGAAGUGCCUCCGCCAAUUAGUCUGUUACUUUUGAAGUCAGCUUCACUUACGUUCUCAAGAACUCUCAGCUAUGUUCUUGGCAUACAUGUGACACAAAGGCCACCUAGCCCAUUUUCUUGUUCUUGUCUGAAACCUCAUGAGCUGGGUCUCCAUUGCUUAUGCUUCUUAGGCAUCCUGGUCUCCAAAUCCUCCAUGAAUGACAAUAAGCUUUUCACGUUUCUUCAUCCCUUCCAGUUCUGCAAGCCUACGAUCUAUAGGUUCAGGUUAACAGAGGUUCAGCCUAUGAUCUAUAGGGUCAGGUUAACAGAGGGUCAGCCUAUGAUCUAUAGCAUCAGGUUAACAGAGGGUCAGCCCACUGCUUAGUACCAAUAUUUCUGUAUUAGUUACUUUUAUUGCUGUGAGAAAGAAAAAUUGACAAAGGUGACUUGCAGAGGGAAGGCCCUUUUAUUUUGCCUGUAUAUUGAGGAUAUCGUCCACCAUGGUGGGGAAGUCAUGGACCGUUCAUGGAAUUAUUCCACCCACCCCCACAGUGCAUGUCCCACCCAUCAAGCUUCCCUGCAAAUGUCCUUACAUACGCACUCAGAAGUUUGUUUCCUAGAUGAUCCUAAGGCCUGAAAACCGAAAUUAACCAUCACAGCAUUGUAAUUAGUACCACGUGUUUUUGAAGGUAGGCGCAGGGGCGCUCAAGGCCACGCCGAUCCUAUCCAAGCUCUGGAAGCAGAGGAUAAAUAGCAAUACUCAUGCCAUGGUAUUUUAUAACAGCAAGAGAAAAGCCACCAGUACAGAUAGGUUGUGUUAAAAUAGCACAAUUUUCAUUAGAAUAUGAAAUACCCACCCUAAGUGUAUUGAACACUGGGUCCGCAGCUGGUGGCCUCUUUGGGAAGGUUGCUAACCUUUUGAGGUAGCUCCUCACUAGAGAAAAUGGGUUGGUGGAGGUGAGCUUUGAGAUGCUAUAGCCUUGGCUCACUUGGCUCUUUGCUGUGCUCUGCUCCCUGAGUGUAGCUGAAAGGAGACAGUAAGCCUCCUGCUCCUGCCCAUCCCUUCAAUUCCCGUUGAUGUGUUCCGGAAGUAUAAGCCAAAAUAAGACCUUCCCUCCUUCAGUUGCUUUAGACAGGGUGUGUUAUCACAGGUAACCAAGGCAAUAAACCACAUUGUUCUACUCACCUUAUUCGUUUUGUAUGUGUCCUAACUGUACAAGGGUCAGAGGACUACCUCAGGAUGCACUUUGUUUGAGUCAAGGUUUCCUUUUAGCCUGGAGCUAACUAAUUAGAUAUACCCUAGAGAUAGACUUGACUCCACUCCUCUGUGUGCAUCGCUGUGCUUGCCCUGGGUUCCAGAGAGAGACCUCAGGUCCUCAAAGCAAGGACUUUUUCAAGCAUUGAGCUUUUUCUCCAGCCUCCUAAUGCACACAUGUAGUUGUACUUCGGUGGUUAAAAUAUGACUGUGUGAGAAUCUUCAUGACUGGUGCCCUGCCAUUGGGACCUCCCUGUUCCUGCUGGCAUUGCCAAUCAUGCUUCAUCCUGUCCUAAGCUAGCAGCAAGUGUGUCCCCUUUCCCAUUGCCGUUUCCCCUCACAUGUAGCUAAGGGCUGGCUCACCAUGACACCCCCCCCCCAAUAAUUACAGCUGAAUUGUAACAGAGCAGAAACUGAAGCGGUCUGGAUUAUCACCUAUGUGAGCUUGUUCUCCAAAAUUGAUAUUUACCUGAUUUCUAAGGCAAUGUGUUGAGUUGAGGUUAUGAGCCAUGAGCCUCAGGUGCAUUAAGUCAGGAUCUCCCACUCUUAGGUAUGAUUGGCAACUGAGGCCUGGAAAUUCUUGUGUGGACUGUGCUGUGCAUUGUAGUUUAAUCUACAGUACUGCGUAACUGUCUCCUCUGUGUCGGAUAUAGCCGUUGCCAUCUUGAUUAAGUAUCUUAACUCACAGAGACUCUCAUGUGCCCAGUUAGCAUGCUCUCCAGGGAAGGGUGGAUUCAUGGGGCUCCUGGGAGAUCCUUAGGAGUAGCCAUUCCUCCCUGUGAUUCCAAUCGUCACUCCAUAGGGGUAAACAGGCUAAUAAACCUUGAGGCGAUCCCCCACUUGAACCCACUUCCUCCUCCAAGCCACCACCUUCUGCAGAUUUCCCAACCUUCCUUAGAGAGCCUCCAGAUGAAGAGCAAGUCUUCAAACACGAGGUGCUGUGCAGGACAUUUCACCUCUGAGUCACAACAGGAGGGGAAUCAGAAGAAGAAAGAAAGAUAAUAAGCAGGUUGCUCUUGUGCAUUGUAUAACAUGAGGGCUGCCUUCCUGGGGACUUCUCCCUUGAGGAACAUGUUUUGUUAAUUGCACCAGGCCAGCAUAAGACCAUAACCACAAAUUUCAAGCCACAUUUAAUCCUUAAAUACUAUCUAGGACAAUGCACAAUGGUCAGGUCCAAAUCCAGGAUUCCCAGAGUAUGCCAGAACUACUUUAUUCAGAGGCUUCUAGAGUCAAAACCCACAAGGCCAUGUAAUUUCUGUCUUUGUCCAAUCAGGGGCAAGCAUACAUCAUGAUGUACCUUCUGCCUAUGUGUGAUCAAGCACAUCCUGUGCAAUUGGGGCAACUAAGCUUGCUUACAGAAGCAAGAACAUGUGGCCUGUUAUCUUACAUGACCAACAUCCCCCAGCAUUCCAGGCACAUAGAAGGAGAAAGAAAUCCUAACAUUUCUCACUUUUCAUAUGCCUUAAAUCAUUUCCUCUUCAUACCUUUAAACUUACUUAAGCUUUCGUAUCUCCAGAAAUUACUUUCUUUGACUCUCAAACAUUACAUAAACUGUAAACCUUUUUUUUCCCUCUUUAACCAUUUUCCGUAAGACACAGCGGUUGAUUGCUGAGAGCAGUCCUUUACUGUGGGGAUAAUCUUCUUGUGCAUUGUGUAAAGGUUUCUUUGUGUUGUUCAAAUGUUGAUUUCUGUGCCAGCAGUGCUGAGUACUGUCUGGACAUUGGUAUCAUUUCACUUGUCUCAGUGUUUGCUUUAAUAAAGAGCUGACAGCCUACGGCAGGGCAGGAGAGGAAAGGGGAACAUCUGAGCAGAGAGAGAAACUCUGGGACAGAAUGUGUGUGUGUGUGUGUGUGUGUGUGUGUGUGUGUUUCUGUGUUUCUGUGUGUGUAUGUCUCUCUCUCUCUCUCUCUCUGUGUGUGUGUGUGUGUGUGUUUCUGUGUUUCUGUGUGUGUAUGUCUCUCUCUCUCUCUCUCUCUGUUUGUGUGUGUGUGUGUGUCUAUGUGUGUGGUAUUCACCAUCCAGACACAGAGGAACAAACGGGUGCCAGGACUGAAGGUGAGAUAUCAGGCCCCGUGGCAGAAUGUAGAUUAGAAUAAAUGGGUUAAUUAAGUUAUAUGAGCUAGUUGGGAUGAACCUAAACUAUAAGGCCUAACCUUAAAAAAUAAUAGUAAGUCUCUGUGUCAUUAUUGGAAUCUGGUGGGUUGAGGCUGGCAGGUUGAGACAGUCUGACAAUAAUUUAUUAUUUCUUUAAAUAAAGGAAUAGUAAAAAGUUACAUCUGAAACCUGUUUGUCUUUAGCAUGCAUGAAGCACCUGUCUACCUGUUCUGAACAAGAGAUCUAGUAGCUCUAGAAAAAAACAAGGCCUGGUUUUUGUAUAUGAAAUGAACUAAGAAAGUAGCUGUGAUUUUGGGGAAAGAGCUGGUUGCUUGCCUCUGUGAAACUUCCACAGCUACAGACAGCCCUGGUCAUCAAAGCCAUCAGAGAUCUGCGAAGGAGAAAUCAUAGAAGGAUAUACAACCCAAAUGGGUCAGAUAUCAAGGAAAAUGACAGUCCUAGUCCACUGCCUAGAUAGCUCCUGUGGCUGUAGUUGGGCAGAGGUCCCAGUGUACUGUCACUCUUAGGCCAGCAGGCCCAGAAGAUCUGAGAGACUAUUGUGGAGGAGGAACCUGGAGGACUGACUGCCUUGUCUAGACAAAGUGGGGCAGCCAACUCUCCAGCGUCCCUGUCCACAGUUUGUACAGGGUCCUGCUGCAGGUGAGACAUGGAACACUUUUGUCCAGUAGCCACAAUCCCAGCAUCCUCAUCUGCCCCAUAUGCUUCUUUAAUGACCUUAGAGUCACCACUGGGAGCUGGCAUUUCUGUCUACCAUGGGAAACUGUGUUCAUUAAAUGUUUUAAAUGCCGUCUGUAUUCAGGAAUCUCUGAUGAGUUUGAGGACCAUAAUUUGUUAAGGAUAUCUGAGCCAAACAAAACUCAUUUUUAGUUACUAGCUUUUGGGUUAACCUUGAAAGUAUAUACAGUGGGCUGAGAAAAGGCUUUUCAUUGUAAGUUACAUUUGAACUUACCAUGACACAAGCAUAGAUCUGAACACAUUAGAGAAUUUAAUCCUUUAUGAGGUGGUUGACUGUUAAUUUGCAUGUCUUAAUCCUCUUAAACAGUUUACACAAGUUAGUAACUCUUAUAAGAUUAGAAUUUUACAGCUUUAUCCCUGCUAAGUUUGAGCCUUAAAAAAUAACAAUUUCUGAAUUGAAGCUCUUUUAGUAUCAAAAUAAAACUUUAAGUCAUAAAUAAAGUUCAUGGGGAGAAAGGCAACUCUAUUUUCGUGGCCUUUUUACAGUACAACAUUACAGAAUAUCACAGUUUCUCAUACGACUAACUUUAUCAAAAUAACUAAAGUUUAAUAGAGUUAUCAAGAUAGAGAGGUUAGACAUGCAUUCCUAAGUCAGUAUUUUUUCACCUACAUACGCCUUGGGUCAGGAGAGACACUCCACCACUCUUUGGGAAAGACAUUCUACCACUCUAUGGACUUUGGACAGACUGCUUAGGCCACUGUUUUGCUGCACCAUAACACAGGAAUUUCCCAGUUUCUGGUGUUUAGUAUUUUGUGCUCAUGGCUGUGGCCCUAACUCCUUAGCCAUUUACUUAUUUAUUUAUUUAGUUAGUUACUUAGUUAAGAUUACAUAUUAAUAUGUCAUAAUAACUGAAAAUGUACCACAUCCUUAUAAAUUUAAAUAUCUUAAAAGCUGUUCCUUUAAAAAAAUCCAUUUUUUAAUUUAAAUUUUCUAAAAAUUCCAAAAUUUCCUGUUAAAGAAGUUUAAAAUCUCUCAACUGUGGGCUCCUUCAUUAUCAAAACUAGGGUUGCCCCUUUUUUACAUCAAGAUAGAACAAUGGGGCACAAUCACAUUAGGGAUAAGGUUAAACCAAACUCCAACAGUGCAAACACCUCAAUGUUUGUUGCGACCAACCCCGACCAGCAGGAAAGGAGCGACACCAUGACGUUCUUCUCAAAGCAGUUUAUUCAGGAACCUUACAACAUGCAAACAGGAAUCUCACUUUUCUUCCCUCUCCCCCUCAGCCCCCAAGCACACUUCCUUAUAUCCUCCCUCAACUCCACCUCCUCAGUCCAGACUGCAUAGUCUCAGUUCAUAGGUCCACGUCACAUGGCCUGAUCUUGCAUCAUGGUGCACCUGCGCAGCUCUCACAAUGGACAUGGCUAGUUUCAGGUGUGUGAGGAAGUCAGGUGCUAGUCAUGAGAAUUAGCUGCAGUCCCGGGCACCAUCUUGGUACUGCCGCCACACCCGCUCCCCACAUCCUUUGUGACUGUAUAGCUCAGAAUGGCUCCCUACAUCUCCCCCUUUUUUUCUUUUAUAAAAGACCAUUAAGAUUUCCGGGGAGAAACUGGGCAGAGGAGCAAAUGACCGAAAGAGGUGUAGCCAUCUUUGUCUUAGGAUCGACCUCUCAACCCCAGCCUUACCCAUCGUAGGGUCACCUUGUCAUCCUCAAGGUCCCAUGUCUUAGGUUGGUCAGGGGCUAGAGGAAGUUGCCCGUCAUUGAGAUGGCUACCUUGGGUCAUCUUACCAUUCCUCCAAAAAGCCCAGGGAUGAAAGGGUAGGGGCCAGAUGGCUUUACUUUAGGACAUUAGGGAAGUUGAGCCUUUCUCAAUAUGUGGUGGGCAUCUCGUCUUGUUCACCUGUGAGUCUGGAAGCUUCAGCUGUUAGGAACCAGAGUUCUGAGUACGUGACUAGGCAGCUGUCCUUGAGGCAGUGGAAUUAGCAUCAAAAUACAGAUAACUUCAGGGCAAACAACUUUGGAAAGCAAAACUCAACCUCCAGCAAACAAUCUAGUCUCCAAAAUCCAGUCUCCAAGACACCGAGUCUAUACAAGGUUCGACUGUCAAUUCUUACGUAUGAACGCAUGAUGGUGCGGUCUCCAAUUCCUCAACAAAGAGACAUUGCCUUAAAAUCUUUUAGAAGCCUGGUUUCUAGGAUAAGAGUUCCAUAAAAAUAUUAUCCCAAUUUAGACCUGUUUCCCUAGAUUGGCUCAUGCCACAUGUUGUCUAGAAUAACUCUAUCCAAAUUACCAGUUUUAUGUCAACUUUGUUACCAAUUUACUUUUUUUUUUUACCAUAUCCAAUAACAUAAAAGCCAAUAGUCCAUAAUCAAGGCAUGCAGAAAAUAAUUAUACAUUUAGAACCAGUCAGAAACAAAAUUGAAGUGGCUACACAUAUCUUCAAUAUUUACACCAAACACCAUUAUGACUUUUCUAGCUGUGAUUGUAAGAGAAGCACCUUGUCACCUGCUAAAUCUAAUAAUCAGCUCAUGCAGACACUCAUCCCCGGGUAGCUUCUCCAGCUGACCUAGGCUCCUUGCUACAGGUGCAAGGCUCCAAGGGCCGAUUGAAACUGCUUUUUAUUCAUUAGUUCCUUUUUUGAAACGAGUUAAAAUCAAAUCAAGGUGUGAACGACCAGCAGAUAAAGUUUUUACCAUUUUCUCUUUUGAACAUGAAACAUAAAACAUUUAAGCAAUGAGAAACAAAAACCACAGACAUAAACUGACAGACAUGGACAGCUUGGUGCACCAAGGACAGACAAUAGACAUAGAGGGGAAAAACUAGAUGGUGUCCCACCGAAGGGAUCCAGAUUCCAAUAGGAGCCAGCAGAGAGGUAGGAUUUCCCCUUUCCCACCACUUCCACGGUGACCAUCCACUCGAGUGGAGUUGAUAUGGAUGAUGGAUUGUCUCAAUUCCUGGACUAGUUCAUCAAAGUGUUGAGACCAAAUUCCUGUAAGAUACUGACAUAUAUUACGGGAUAUCUGAGCAGCACAACUGACAUUAACAAAUGGUAUGGAAGUGACACACAGUCCUGAAUAUUUCCACUCACAACCCAAUUACAUUAACUCCAUCAAGCUGUGCAUGGGCGUUGAGAUGUCCUUGGGGGUAGGGGGUAGGAAAAAUGAAAAAAAAAAUGCUGUAGUUGAUGUGUCCUGACUGGUCCCAGCUGAAAAGUCCUUGAGACCAGGAAUCCAAGUAGGCAAUUCUGUACAAUUCUCAAGACAAAAGUUUCGAGUCGAGAUAUCUUUUUGUUUGAUUCUCCUGAAUAAAUUUUUCAGGCGGUCUACCUCUAUCAAAUCUGAUCAGUAUGACUCUGUGAGGUUUCCAGACCCUAAUCAUACCUUUUAAAAACACAAAGACAAAAUCUUUCUCCCAAAAUACUGUGUUCCUUAGUCUGAAACCAGAAAACCUUGUAUCUUGUACUCUCUCCCAGAGUAAAAAUAUAACCAUAAAACUCAGAGUCACACCCAUCAUAAUAUCCGCUUGUUCCCGGAGCAAAUCGACCCUUUGAUACAGCAGCAAAAUUCCCGUUUUCAACUGACUAUUAAUAUUACCCUGAAUAUCUAAAGCUUCUGCAACACCUGCGGAUAGAUUACUUACAGCUGCGGAUAAAUUACUUACAGCUGCCGCAGUCUGUACUACAGAGGUAAGGGAUAUGGCUGCAGCAGUGGCUGCGGCGGCAGAAACUGUGCGACUUGUCCCAAAACCGGGAACUUAACCCUCAUCCCAAAGCUGGGAACCUUAUUGUCUCAAUCCGAGAACUUAACCCUCGUCCCACUUAUGUGGGAACUUACUGGCUAGCCACCCUGACUGCGAUGAGUACUGAACAAAUGUUCUCCGUAUGGGCCACCACUUGUCGUGACCAACCUCGACCAGCAGGAAAGGAGCGACACCAUGACGUUCUUCUCAAGGCAGUUUAUUCAGGAACCUUACAACAUGCAAACAGGAAUCUCUCUUUUCUUCCCUCUCCCCCUCAGCCCCCAAGCACACUUCCUUAUAUCCUCCCUCAACUCCACCUCCUCAGUCCAGACUGCGUAGUCUCAGUUCAUAGGUCCACGUCACAUGGCCUGAUCUUGCAUUAUGGUAUGCCUGCGCAGCUCUCACAAUGGACGUGGCUAGUUUCAGGUGUGUGAGGAAGUCAGGUGCUAGUCAUGAGAAUUAGCUGCAGUCCCAGGCACCAUCUUGGUACUGCCGCCACACCCGCUCCCCACAUCCUUUGUGACUGUAUAGCUCAGAAUGGCUCCCUACAAAUGUUCAAUAUCUGAGAUCCUCUGUGCUUCCCCAGUGAGCUCAGGUCUCAUACACACCACACACACACACACACACACACACACACACACACACACACACACACACACACACAGCCUGUCAUUAGGCCCUACACAGCUCUGUCUCAUUUUGGCUGUUGUUCCUGGUGGCUAUCAUAUGGCACUGGCAUCAUCAAUACUACUGGGGUUCUCCACUGCAACUGGGCUGCAUUUUCACCAGUAGCUUCUCCUGGGUUGUAUAGGAACUCCAGCCUUGCCACACAGUUCCAAGCCUCAGUUUCCCACCAUGACCUCUUCAUGCCUUUAAAGCCAGAACCACCUGGCUUUACAUUACAUGUUAGGCCACCAGCACAAGGUCCAUUCUUGUAUAUAAGUGCAUGGAGCUGUAGCUUCAGGACCUUAUUAAAUAAGUAUUGUUUUGAAAUCCUUUCCUUCAUAAACCUAGUUUGUAUGGCUUUGUAUUCUGAACAAUUAACAUCCAAAAUGUCUUGGAGACCCAUUAUUGCUUCCUUGGUUGGUUUAUACCAUUUUUAAUCAAGAUGGUGAUGAAGUCAUGUGACAUCCAUCUUCUCCAACCCAUGUGGAUGCCUCCAUCCCCAUGGAGGGGAGCAGCUAAGAUGGGACCAAGGCACAUGUUGCUUGCCUCUGAAGAGGGUGUCACACCACAUGGUUCCUUUAGGAUUACUGAUGUAUAGGUUUUUAACAAUCAACACCACCCCACCCUACCCCGCCAUGUUACAAGUUUGAAGUUAAUAUUUUUUGUUAAUGAUUUUACAGAGUUUAACCAUAAACUUACAAAAUUUAAGGGACAGAAAGUUCACACAGCAGUCUUACAAAUCUUGAGGUAAUGUUUAGAUCUUAGCUGAAGUUUAGACAGCUAAAUAAAACAAAUAGAAUAUAUUUUUUAGCUAUUUUGUUUUUGUUUUGCUCUCUUUUCCCUGUCACAGAGUCAGGUCGCUCACCCAACAUAGGUCAGAGAGAAGGCUUUUAAGUAAGCAUGGUUGGGUCAAGAGAAGGGAGACCCAUGACCCAGCUUCAGAUGCAACUUUUCAAUAAAGUAGAUCAGCAUAAGACAAAUUUGAUAUUAUCCAUACCCAGAAGGUAUUUGAAUCCCCGCUAAAUUAAGUAAAGUGACUAGAAAGACCAGAGAUAAAUUCUGAACCCUGGUGGUCAAAGUCCCGUGGUAAGCUGCCAUGGUUAGCAGUAGUGGCUGGCAGUGGCUGAGAUAAUAGAAACACAAUCAAUAAACACAGAACACCGAAACCUUGCACAUUCAAAGGAGACCAGUCUGAAACAAAACACUUGGUGGCCACCAUCAUUCAUAUAUCCAGCUGAGCCUAACCUGUUUCCAUCUCAGCUCUCAGGUUUGCAACAAAACUUAUGGACACACCAGAAAACACAGACCCGUCUGCACACACAGAACAGACAGACAAAAUUUUCCAAACAACCAGAACUAGGCAGACAGGACAGUAUUGGGUUCUAUUGAAUUGCUCUACAUCCCAGAUCAGGAUUCCAACAGACUAGAUAUCACGGAAAGUUACCAUGACCUACCAGGGCCAGCCUCUGUAGAUGCUUAGUGGUUUUCUCUGAACAACAAUUCAUUCUGAAUAUAGUGCGCAGAACCAAAAGCAUGCCACAGAGCCUCAAAUGUCUCAUGGUGUGCACCUCCAGAGGUGGCCUGCCACAGGGAAGAACCUAGAUAAAAACAGUUAGUAUAACAGGUUAUAUUUUAUUAUGCCAAAGGUCAUCACAUGCGGUUCACACUCUAAAUGCUUAACUACAGUCCUAAUACUAUCUCCCCAAGGUCCAGUCUCUAACAAAAGUCUCUGCUUCUAGGGUCGAGAUCCGGGGGACAGUCUUCAGCCACUGAGCAGAUGAAGCUGGCACCUCUCCAGAGCAUUGCCCGUGGUCUCUGCAGAUAUACUAUGCAGUGGGCAUCAUGGGCUUCUAGGGCUGCAUCUGGACAUAACCAUGACUUCACUGCUGAAUUGCCACCGUUGUAGACAGGUGGACCAGUUUGGAGCAUAAGGAAGAAAUGUUGGAGAAAGUGAACUUCAGUAAAAGAAGCUAGAGUCAGUCACCUCAGUCAGUGGCAGACCGGUGAGCCUCCUUUUGUGAAUUUACAGAGAUGGUGUUUGUUCUUAUUACAAAAAGACAGCCUAAGAUCAUCUUCUGAGAAUCAAAAGAUUUUAUUGCUUUCUAGUGAUGAAGACUUUGGUAUGCAGCCCCGGAUUUGGCCACAGCUCUGAUUUUUCCCUACAGCAAGUCAAGGACCUUUCAUUUAAGAGAGGAAGAGGGAUGUACACAAGUCUCUUUGACAAAUGGGAGUGCAGAAUAUUAAUAUAGUUGUUGGAUGUGAAGGUACUGAUGUGACAGCCAAUGACUUGGCCAAAGGAUGCUUACCUAGGGUCCUAGAACUGUGGCAGGGUUCCCUAAACCCUAUGUUGUAUACAGUUCAUGGAGCACAGUCAUGUCCACAAUAGGAUUACUGUUUAGGGGUCUUUAUCUGGUACAUUUUCUCUGCCAAUUAAAGAACUAAAAUGCAAGAGAAACCUCAGACACAGCAGGCAGCAACAGACUUUAUUACACAUAAAGAAACACACACACACACACAGAGAGAGAGAGAGAGAGAGAGAGAGAGAGAGAGAGAGAUCAGAGACAGAGAACAAAGCACAUUGUACAUUGUACAUUGAGAGAAAAGUGUCCCAAAGAGCAGAGAGUGAAGUCCAAUGGGUUUGGUGGUAUAGGGCAAAUUUCCUUUCAAUGAUUUUGCUUUGGUCAACUUAGACAAAGAAGAAGAGAGCUGAUUGGCCCACAGCUGUGGUAAAUGUAGCCAGAAUGGAUUUUGAACAUAUCUGAACAGCAGGGACCAGUCAGCCAGAAGAGGAUCCCUUCUGGUGGGUGUCAAAACCCACAAGACCUUUGUCUUUCAGGAAGGUGAGGAAGAAGCCAGAGGUUUGUCUCCUUUGUUAUCUGUGGUUCUUUUUCCUGUCAUCUGCUGGCCAGGGGUCUCCUCAGUAGUUAGUGUCUAAGGACUUCUGAAAUCCAAAUGACAGAGAAGCAGGCAGAAGUUGUAAGCCAGAGCUCUGCUCAGCAGAUGUAGCAUGACAUCUCUAGGUCAGGUUGGAGAGGAGAUCCUCAGCCUGACUAGCACAAGAAGAAAAGAUUUCACACUGACUGAGCCUCUUUCUUUUUUAAUAUUUAGAAACAAAAUGAUCACCUUUGCUGCCAGGCAGUGCAAAGACUAGUCCAGCCCACCUUUCUUGAAAACCCAUGAUCUGCUUUUCAGGGGGAGAUGAAAGUGCAGGCAUAGACAAUGGAUCUGAAAGCUGCUGGCUUUUGAAUAUUCAUGACUAUUCUAAUGCAAAUGAAUGUUUCCAAUUGAGCUGAGUUUGGCCAGGUGCUGUUGGAAGUGCUUUAAGUUUAUAAUGUUGCUUCUCUGUUCUUUAGAUCUCCUAGAACAACUUCUCUGAGAAGGUUUCCCAGGUGUCCCACCUUGGACUGUAGUUCCUGCCCCUAAAGUUCAAGGGCUCUGGAUCCCCCCAAUCCACAGGACAGCCUGCCCUUGUUUAAUUGGGGCCCAGGUCUGAGAGGCCCUCCUUUGGCCCAGAGCCAGAGAGCCUUAUCACUCACCAGAUUGUGCUUCAACCAAAGCUCACUGCUCCCAGAAUAACAGAGGGGAUGGUGGGGGGUCUGCCAAGGUUAGGAGCACUUGUUUCAGCCCUCUUUGACUCUUGCAACUGUAAAUGGCCUUGGCCUGUAGCCUGAUGCUUUGCUAGGUCCACAGACUAUGCAAGACACACAACCCUGUGAGCUGAUGGUGGUUGCCUUUGGAGGAACACAGUGAGUCUUCAGUCUCUGUGGGUGCUAAGGGAGGAUUUCCCUGUUCAACAGGAUUUGUUGUGAGGGUUUCUGAUCAAAUUCUAGGAGGGGGGAGGGGGAAGGGAAGGGAGACAAGGAAAGUCACUGUUCAGCCAAGGACCUGUUUGGAGGAGUACAGACGCUGGUCCUGACCCAGGUCAGUGAAGGAAGUUUCCACAACUUCCACCAUCUCCCAGGAGCUGGGUGGUCCUCAGGAUCCAUUGGAGUGAAAGAUGCCACUUCUAGGUUUAAAUUGGUCCAGGAUCCUUAUACCACCUAAGGACUCUUGCUGAAGUAUCUCAGGCAUGGCCUAUGAUUCCAUUCCUUGAUUAGUUCUUGAAAUCUAUUCUUACCUCCUAGGCUUUCCAGCAGAACUUUUCACCCUCAAAUACUCUAUGGAAAAGACACUCCUCUCUAUGCCCGAUACAUACUUAUUCAAUGAGAAUCUACCUAUGUUUUAAACAGGUGACUCUAAGAGGUACAGUAGUCUCUGGUCAAUGCGUCUUGGUCUGUCUAUUCAGACUACCCUCCACCCAUAGUCCCCCUCUGCACCGUCAUCACUAGGGCUGCCAUAGCCUUCUCUGGGGUAACCUCACCUCCAAUGCCCUCUCCUCUGGGUUCCAAAGCUGCCAAAGCUAUGUUCACCUGAAUUCAGCCUCCCCAGUUUUCUUCCACGACUACCUGCUGUUUAAUUUAUCCUGGCAUUGUUAACACCUGACUUUCCCUGUGAUGAGUUUUUAGCUGUGGACUAGUUUAUUCUUAAGAAACACAUUGAUUUUCGAGGGCUGGAGCUUCAUUGCAGUUACUUAAGUCCUUCUUCCAUGUUUCCUUUCCAGGACUUCAUAGUUGUGGCCGAGGCCUGAUGUCAGUCAGACAGGCUUUGAUGAGGAUGGUACCCUGGUUCUGGCAGCUACUCAAGGACUUGGGAGAAACCUGUUUGUACCCCAAGCUUCUGGUCAAAUUGAGUGGCCCUCACCUUGAAAUAGACCCUGAAUAUGGCAUAGAUGCCAGGAACCCAGCUCUGUAAACGUUUAUAUGCAGACAAAGUCUCUCCAUGUGCUUUUAAACCAAGGAAGUUUCUACUCAGAAACUUAGAAGGCUGUCAUGAGAGAUUGCCAAGCAAGGACAAUACACAAAGGGAAGCAAGCAGAUUUUACUGAGAAGAAACAUCUCCCUGUAGCCAGAGGGGAGACGUGAAGGUGAGUUACCUAUUCAAGUUACCUAUUUAGCACGCUGAAACGGUUUUUACAUCUUGGGAAUGUGCCAUUGUGGUCCCAUAUGUAAAUUAGGCAUCAAACUCAGAUGAGUCUGAUUGGCUUAUUUGAAUGCACGUGGCAAAGUCUGCUUUGCUGACAAGUCCUGUGAAAGUACAGAGCCUUGGAAAUCGAAAGCUGGAGGUCAGCUGACAUCUUGGAGGGUCAGGGUGUUUGGAUUUUAAUUCUUUGGCUCACCAACUGUGCUGGACAUUUUUAUGUCAACAGCAUAAGUUCCAGCGUUUUUAGAAGAAGAAACCUCAAUUGAGAAAAUGCCCCCAUCAUAUAUGUAGUCAAGCUUAUGCUACAUUUUCUUGAUUGAUGAUUGAUGUGGGAGGGUCCAAUUCUCCUGUUCAGUAUCACCCCUGGGCUGGUAGUCCUGGGUGCUAUAAGAAAGCAGGAAGAGUAACCCAUAAAGAACAGCUGGUAAGGAGCGCUCCUCCAUGGCGUCCGCUUCAGUUCCUGCCUGAGUUCCUGCCCUGACUCUCUGGAUGAUGGACUACAAGCUGUAGCUGAAAUAAAACCUUC